rnacentral:sRNA from 2 species
UAUUCUGCCCUACGGGGAAGGAUGAGAAGCUUCGACCAGGGUUCGACUCGAGCGUAGCGAGAGAACGUUGCCGAAGGCAACGGCCCGAAGGGCGAGGCGCUUUAGCGCCGAGUUAUCCUUCCCCCACCACCA